UCCCCCAUUUCAUGGGAUGACCCUGUCUGCUGUUUGGAAGCUUGUUUGCCGCAGAACUUGGGGAACAGAGCUUGCAGGAGUCAGCCCCACAGCAGUUCAGAACAGAGGAGAGCAGGAGAGGGUUAAGAAUGCACCUGAGAGCAACAGGCGCACACCUGGCAUAGAAAAGGAGGAGAGAACCAGGAGCUUGGCUUGAGGGAGCCACAGGAGUGAGAAGAGGAUGUUCAUGAUGGGAGUAUCUUGCACUGCAGUGGAGGCAGAGAGCCAAUAUAGAGGAAGACAGAGGUUACUGUGUGCCGUGCAUCGUUUGAGCAGCUCGGGAGACCCAGUGAGUCCAGCCAUCCCUGUCCACAGGUCAAGUCACUGAGGUGCAGAGACACUGCCUUCCUGUCCUAAAGUCCAGUUCAGGCCAGCUCUCUCCAGAGUUCCAGGCUUUUGGUCUCCGUCUGCAGAUCUCCUUUGCUUUGAAUGAGUCUGUCCCUGAGGAGGGCUAGGAGCAACCUUGAGAAGGAACAUGAUGGUCACUAAUUCAGCCAGAACACUCUCAAGGUGCAUUCUGAGCGAGGCUGAUGCCAGGUGCAGAACAAACACCUCUUGCGCCUGGGAGCUUCCUGAAGUUUGGAGAAUGUGUCAGAUAUCACCUGUUUGCCCCUGGGGGCCUAGCCCCACCCCUGUCUGCAUUUCGUGCAGACUACACUGGGGCCUCCGUUGCCCUCCGUUUGGCCAGCAGGAAGCUCUGGCAAAAGAUCAGUGGGAUAGAGGAAGAUGCUUUGGGGAUUUAUUUUUCCCGCUCCCUCUCUGGGGAUCCCUGAAGGGACAGCUGUGCCUUCUGUCCAAGUGUCCUAUUUUCCCUCUUCUCCAGGACUAGUGGUAAACCUUUUCCUAGUUCCUUCAGUUCAAAGGGGGAAUAGGUGCCUUGUUCCAGCCCUGGGGUAUAGCCCUGUCUCUUCUGGUUCCUCUUCAAUCUGCCCUGUGUAAACAGCCCCUUUCUUUUUAAAACUCUCCUACAAUAGGCCAGGCACAGUGGCUCAUCAGGCCUGUAAUCCCACACUCUGGGAGGCAAAAGCGGGCAGAUCAGUUGAGGUUGGGAGCUCAAGACCAGCCUGGGAAACAUGGUGAAACCCUGUCUCCACUAAAAAAUACAAAAAUUAGCCAGGUAAUCCCUGCACUUUGGGAGGCCAAGGCAGGCGGAUCACAAGGUCAAGAGAUCGAGACCAUCCUGGCCCACAUGGUGAAACCCUACUAAAAAUACAAAAAUUAGCCGGGUGUGGUGGUGCGCACCUGUAGUCCCAGCUACUUGGGAGGCUGAGGCAGGAGAAUUGCUUGAACCCGAGAGGUGGAGGUUGCAGUGAGCCGAGAUCAUGCCACUGCACUCCAGCCUGGGCGACAGAGUGAGACUCCAUCUCGAAAAAAAAUCUUUCCUGCAAUCAUCCUAGUUAGAGUGUGCUAUUUGUUUUCUGCUGGGCACUGACUGAUACAAAGAAUAGGACCUAUAGAUAGAAAAUUGCUGGUGGAGGCUGGGCAUGGUGGCUCGUGCCUGUAAUACUGGCACUUUGGGAGGCUGAGGCAGGCGGAUCACGAGGUCAAGAGAUCGAGACCAUCCUGGCCAACAUGGUGAAACCCUACUAAAAAUACAAACAUUAGGCCAGGCGCCGUGGCUCAUGCCUUUAAUCCCAGCACUUUGGGAGGCCGAGGUGGUUGCAUCACCUGAGGUCAGAAGUUCGAGACCAGCCGGACCAACAUGGAGAAAUCCCAUCUCUACUAAAAAUACAAAAUUAGCCAGGCGUGGUGGCAGGUGCCUGUAGUCCCAGCUACUUGGGAGGCUGAGGCAGGAGAAUCACUUGAACCUGGGAGGUAGAGGCUGUGGUAAGCUGAGAUCGCGCCAUUGCACUCCAGCCUGGGCGAGAAGAGCGAAACUCCAUCUCAAAAAAAAAAAAA
rnacentral:lncRNA from 1 species